rnacentral:lncRNA from 1 species
AGCAGUUGGACCUCACAGUGUGGAUUGUGCCUUCACCCUGGAAUGUUUAUGCCCUAUCACCAUGGUGAUGGGAUUAGGGAUCUCCUGCCCUUGGUCCUAAGUGCCACUAUCUGUGCUGAGUUUUUCAAAGGUCAGAGCAGAUUGAACCAUUGUGGUUUCAUUUUCCCUGAUUUUGAUUUUUCUUAUGGGGAACCUGUGUGGCUGCAUUCAAGGUGACUCGAAGAAGCCUUCCAAAAAGCAUGUGAAAAGGAAGCCCUACUCUACUACCAAGGUGACUUCAGGGAGCACAUUCAAUGAGAAUACAAGAAGAUAUGCUGUGCACACCAACCAGUGUAGGAGACCUCAUGGCUCCCGGGUAAAGAAGAAGAGGUACCCACAAGAAGAUGACUUCCAUCAUACAGUCUUCAGCAACCUUGAAAGAUUGGACAAGCUUCAGCCCACUCUUGAAGCCUCUGAGGAGUCUCUAGUUCACAAGGACAGAGGAGAUGGAGAGAGGCCAGUCAACGCGAGGGUGGUGCAGGUGGCCCCUCUGAGGCUUGAAUCUACUCCCCAUGAGGACACCGUACACGACAUCACUAACGAGGACGCCACACACGACAUCGCUAACGAGGAUACUGUACACGACAUCGCUAACGAGGCCGCCGACAAGGGCAUCGCCAACGAGGAUGCCGCCCACGGCAUCGCCAACGAGACGCCGCCCAGGGCAUCGCCAACGAGGGCGCCGCCCAGGGCAUCGCCAAAGAGGACGCCGCCCAGGGCAUCGCUAACGAGGCCGCCGACAAGGGCAUCGCCAACGAGGAUGCCGCCCACGGCAUCGCCAACGAGGACGCCGCCCACGGCAUCGCCAGCGAGGACGCCGCCCACGGCAUCGCCAGCGAGGACGCCGCCCACGGCAUCGCCAGCGAGGACGCCGCCCAGGGCAUCGCCAACGAGGACGCCAUCCAGGGCAUCGCCAAGGAGUACGCCGUCCACGGCAUCGCCAACGAGGACGCCGCCCAGGGCAUCGCCAACGAGGACGCCGCCCAGGGCAUCGCCAACGAGGACGCCGCCCAGGGCAUCGCCAAGGAGGACGCCGCCCAGGGCAUCGCCAAGGAGGACGCCGCCCAGGGCAUCGCCAACGAGGGCGCCGCCCAGGGCAUCGCCAAAGAGGACGCCGCCCACGGCAUCGCCAACGAGGACGCCGCCCAGGGCAUCGCCAACGAGGACGCCGCCCACGGAAUCGCCAGUGAGGACGCCGCCCACGGCAUCGCCAGCGAGGACGCCGUCCAGGGCAUCGACAAGGAGGAUGCCGCCCAGGGCAUCGCCAACGAGGACGCCGCCCAGGGCAUCGCCAACGAGGACGCCGCCCAGGGCAUCGCCAAAGAGGACGCCGCCCACGGCAUCGCCAACGAGCUGUAUACGACAUCGCUAACGAGGACACCCUACAAGCCGUCGCUAACAAGUACACUGUACACAACAUCGCUAAUGAGGGCACUGUACAAGACAUCACCAAUGAGGGCGCUUUAUACGACAUUGCUAAUGGCACCGACAAGGCACGCUAACGUGGACGCUGUACACGACAUUGCUAAUGAGGACAGCGUAUAAGACAUCGCUAGUAACUAUCGCAAGAACAAAAAACCAAACACCGCAUAUUCUCACUCAUAGAUGGGAAUUGAACAAUGAGAUCACAUGGACACAGGAAGGGGAAUAUCACACUCUGGGGACUGUUGUGGGGUUGGGGGGGGAGGGAUAGCAUCGGGAGAUAUACCUAAUGCUAGAUGAUGAGUUAGUGGGUGCAGCGCACCAGCACGGCACAUGUAUACAUAUGUAACUAACCUGCACAAUGUGCACAUGUACCCUAAAACUUAAAGUAUAUAUAUAAAAAAAAAGACAUCGCUAGUGAGCACGCUGUAUACGACAUCGCUAAUGAGGACACCAUACAAGGCAUCGCUAACGAUGACGCUGUACACAACAUCACUAAUGAUGACACCGUAUAAGACAUCGCUAAUUAUGACGCUGUAUACGACAUCGCUAAUGACACCGUACAAGGCACGCUAACGAGGAUGCUGUACACGACAUCACUAAUGAGGACAGUGUACAAGCCAUCACUAAUGAGGACACUGUAUAUGGCAUCGCUAACGAGGACACUGUACAAGCCAUUGCUAACGAGGACGCUGUACACAACAUCGCUAAUGAGGACACCAUAUAAGACAUCACCAAUGAGGAUGCUGUAUAUGACAUCGCUAAUGGCACCCACAAGGCAUGCUAACGAGGACGCUGUAGACGACAUUGCUUAUAAGGACACCGUACAAGACAUCGCUAACGAGGACGCUGUAUACGACAUCGCUAAUGAGGACGUUGUAUAUGACAUCGCUAAUGAGGAUGCUUUACAAGACAUAGCUAAUGAGGUUGCUGUAUAUGACAUCGCUAAUGAGGACAUUGUAUAUGACAUCGCUAAUGAGGACGCUCUAUACGACAUCACUAAUGAGGACGCUGUAUACAACAUCGCUAAUGAGGACGCUGUAUAUGGCAUCGCUAAUGAGGAUGCUGUAUACGAAUUCGCUAAUAAGGACGCUGUAUAUGACAUUGCUAAUGAGGACACUGUACAAGACAUCUGUAAAAAAGAAGAUGCUGCCAAUGAGCCAUUGACACUGGAGAAUGAUACGUACCCUGAAAUAACUCACUUCCUGAGGAAAAAGCGCCAUCUCUAGGAUUUGAUUGUGGAGAGCAUAUCUGAUGAUGGGGAUUUGUAGGACUUUAAAAAGCACUCAUGUUUCCAUCCUCACUGUUGACUCCUGGCUUAAAGGGAUCUCCCGGGGUGAGUGAGGAGGCGGGAUCGGACCCUGGCAGUCUGACGGCAGCACCUGUGUUCCUCUGCACUGGGCCGUGGAUGACAUUACAUACCUUGCCACUCCCACGGUCCUGUGUGUUCCGGAUAUUUUAAAAUAAUGGCUAUAAGGUUGAGCACUUCAGGAUACGCUGUUUUGCUGUGUGCAGAUGGAGGCAGUGGCUGGAGUGAAUGAACGGCAACACUUGCUGGCAACCGGCAGAAGCUGAGAGACAGGGAACAGGCUCUCCUCCAGAGCCUCCAGGAGCCAGGCCUUUGGACAACUUGAAUGUGGGCUUCUGGGAGACCAUGCGUUUCUGUUAUAAGCAGCCCAGUCUCUGGCAGUUUUUACGGCUGCCCCGGAACACUCAUCUAUACCUGUCUGACAAGGUCAAGCUCCAAGGAAGGGACUCUCUACAUAUCUACAUUGUUUGCAGAUUUUACAAUAAUCAUUUAUUCUUGCAUGGCUGAUCAUUGUUAACCAAUACAAAUAAAAUAAUAAAGAAAUGACCCACA